rnacentral:tRNA from 1 species
UGCGAAAGUGGCGGAAUCGGUAUACGCGCUACUUUGAGGUGGUAGUGAGGGAAACCUCGUGGGGGUUCAAGUCCCCCCUUUCGCAA